rnacentral:lncRNA from 1 species
UUAUUUUCUGCUUCUUUAUCUGUACUCUUCUAGGAAAUGCUGAGAUUCGGCACUUGUUCCCUAGGCACUGAUGUCUGAUGAUCAUCCCGCAGGCUGUUGCCAUAACAAGGCUGUAGAGUUAAGUCAGUGCUCAUACAGGCUUCCUUGACCAGUAAGAAGGACCCUGGUUUGUUUAUAGGUGUAAUCUUCAAUCUUGUAUGGAUCAACAUAAAGAUGUUGUGAAGCCUCUGAUGGGACAGUUUUAUUAACGAAGCAGGAAACCUCCCCUGUGCCUGCUUCUGUGUGCAAUGGGUAAUUCAUGCACUGCCUUUUCCACUGCAUCCAGGAGUGGGCUGACUUGGCUCUGUCCACUCUUGAAGGACCCUGCCUUCUAUCACUGUCACCAGGUUAUCAUUUUAUAUUUUACACUGCCUAUUAAACACCUGUACUUUCCCUUUUCCUGGUCUUGAUGGAGAUGAAGAUAUCAUCUUCAUUUUGCCCCCGCCCCGAGUAACACACACUUCUAUUUACACUUGACCAUGAUUGCUUUCCUUAACUGUAACUUUAUAGUACAGGCAGGUGUAGGAUUGGGCAGGGCUGAGGACCAGAGAGAAAAAAGGGGAGCAUGUCCCCAUUUUAGAACACCUGCCUGGGAAUGAGGGGAGAGAUGUGAGCAUAGCUCCUUUCUGUAAAAACCACAUUUAUAUGGAGCUUUCCCCUCUUUGGAACUGACUGCUCUUUUAUCCUCUCGGACACUUGUGUUUAUGUAGAAGAGAGACCUCAUCAGUGCCAGGGCCCAAGAUCACAAGAGAGUUUGACAGGAGACUGAAGGCUUGUUGGCUGGGAAGAACAUCAUCGUAUCAGCCAGGAGUAGUUUCUCCUCAAGUUGCCCAGGAUUGGGAAGGGAGCCAUACCAGAUGGCCUCCUGGCCCUAGAAGUGCCUUCUGGAGCUGAACAGGGUUUUCUUGUCACUGAGAUUCAGCAGCAGCAGCAGGUGUUGAUGGUGCCCCCGCUGGGUGCCUGGCGUCCCCCUACCCCCUGCCUCUCACAGCCUGCAGCCCUCCUCCAUGGCCAAGGAAUGAUGCAUAUGGAGAUACCAGCCGCCCCCAUGGAGCUGACUUGGUUGCCUGAAGUGAGAAUGUUAAAUGGGUAAUUGAUGGAAGAAAAAAGCCAAGGGAGGCUGGGUCCCUGCUGGGUAGCUGGUUAGUGGUAGGAGCUGUGUACAUACAGCCAGGGCUGAAAGUUGGUGACCUUUCUGAAACGUCUUUCCCUUUCUCUUCUUUUUCUCCUCUUUGUUUUUAUAAUAAUACAUUUUCACAGUCCCUUGUUUUUUAUGAACCGUGCACUAAGCUCUUCCCAUCCAUUAUUCAUUUGUUUUUUCAUGACUUUUAUAUUAAAAGUAGGGAAUUGAGGUCAUUCUGGGAAGUGACAGAAGCCUCAGGCGGGUCUCUCUAACUCCCUAACAAACAAGGCUCUCCACCCUGUACUGCUUCUCCAUCUCUCUCUGCAGCUCUCUCUCCCUCUCUUCUUUGGGGAUUUCUUGAGCACCCAUCCCAGGUCAGUUGAUGAUGGAAUUCCAGAGAUCAGGGACAUGGCCCUUCUCUUAAGGAGCUCAGAAUUGAGUUCUUUGAUAUUAUUAUUAUUAUUAUUAUUAUUAUUAUUAUUAUUGCCUUUUUCUUGGGCCACUGCUGCAGCAUAUGGAGGUUCCCAGGCUAGGUGUUUAAUCAGAGCCAGAGCCGCCAGCCUACGACAGAGCCACAGCAACGCGGGAUCUGAGCCGCGUCUGUGACCUACACCACAGCUCACGCCAACACCGGAUCCUUAACCCACAGAGCAAGGCCAGGGACCGAACCCGCCACCUCAUGGUUCCUAGUCGGAUUCGUUAACCACUGUGCCACGUCGGGAACUCCAAGUUCUUUGGUAUUUUUUUAAGUUUUACUGAAGUGUAGUUAAUUUACAAGGCUGUGAUAAUUUCUGCUGUACAUCAGAGUGACCCAGCCAUACAUAUACAUACAUCCAUUCUCUUUCAAAUUCUUUCCCACAUAGAUUAUCACAGAAUAUUGGGCAGAAAUCCCUCUGCUAUAUAGCAAGUCCCCAUUGACCAUUCAUUCCAUAUACCUCAGUGUGCAUAUGUCAAUCCCAAACCCCUGUUCAUCCCUCCCACCCACCCACCUGUCCCCUUUGGUAACUGUAAGUUUUUCAAAGUCUGUGAGUCUGAUUCCAUUCUGCAAAUAAGUUCAUUUUAUAUCCCUUUUUUGAGAUUCCACAUAUAGGUGAUCUCACAUAAUGUUUGUCUUUCACUGUCUAACUUUACUGAGUAUGAUAGUUUCUAGGUCCAUCCAUGUUGCUGCAAAUGGCAUUAUUUCAUUCUUUUUCAUGGCUGAGUAAUAUUCCAUUGUAUAUAUGUACCACAUCUUCUUUAUCCAUUCCUCUGUAGAUAGAUAUUUAGGAUGCUUCCACGUCUUGGCUAUUGUAAAUAGUGCUGCCAGUGAACAUUGGAGUCCAUGUACCUUUUUGAAUUAUGUUUUCUCUGGAUAGAUUCCCAGGAGUGGGAUUGCUGGAUAGUAUGGUAGUUCUGUUUUUAGUUUUUUUGAGCAGAAUUGAGUUCUUGUAGGACAAACACAUGCUCAUGACACUUGGAAGGUAAGGUGAGCCCAGGGCUAUGUGGGGCCCAUUGGCACGUUCCUGCCUGAGCCUGGGGCUUAUAGGUGGGUUGUAAAGUAUGAGCAAUGGUCUUUGUUUCACAGGGAGUUCGAACUCUCAGGGCCAUGCUGGGCUGAGCACUUACCCUGCACCGCCCCUGGCAGUCUAGAGCCUGAGAUGCUGGUGUGGUUCUGUACCUCUGUGGAUGUGGUUUAACAGGUAGAAUUGCCUAAUAAUACCCCUGGGCUUAGGGUCUUCUGUUUUCAUUAAGCCUUACCCUCAGCCCUCUAAAUUCUCCCUUUGAAGAGAGGGUACAUGUCUUAAGACCUGGAUUUGUGCCAUGCUCUGGACUGGGCAUUUAAAAUUUUAGUUAUCUCAGGAGUUCCUGUUGUGGCUUAGUAGUAAUGAACCUGACUGGUAUCCAUGAGAACGUGGGUUAAAUCCCUGGCCUCACUCAGUGGGUUAAAGAUCCAGUGUUGCCACAAGCUGUGGUGUAGGUCACAGAUGCGGCUCGGAUCCUGUGUUGCUGUGGCUGUGAUGUAGGCCAGCAGCUGUAGCUCCGAUUCGGCCCCUAUCCUACGAACUUCCAUAUGCCCCAGAUGAGGCCCUAAAAAG